rnacentral:rRNA from 1 species
UACGUAGGUGGCAAGCGUUGUCCGGAUUUACUGGGCGUAAAGAGCGCGCAGGCGGCCAAGUCAGUCGAAUGUGAAAGCCCCCCGGCUCAACUGGGGAGGGUCAUUCGAUACUGCUCGGCUCGAAGACAGGAGAGGGAAGUGGAAUUCCCGGUGUAGUGGUGAAAAUGCGUAGAUAUCGGGAGGAACACCAGUGGCGAAGGCGACUUUCUGGCCUGUUCUUGACGCUGAGGCGCGAAAGCUAGGGGGAGCAAACGGGG